rnacentral:misc_RNA from 1 species
GAUGAAGAACGUAGCGAAAUGCGAUAAGUAAUGUGAAUUGCAGAAUUCAGUGAAUCAUCGAAUCUUUGAACGCACAUUGCGCCCCUUGGUAUUCCGAGGGGCAUGCCUGUUCGAGCGUCAUUAUAACCCCUCAAGCUCAGCUUGGUGUUGGGCGUCUUGUCUCUAGCUUUGCUGGAGACUCGCCUUAAAGUAAUUGGCAGCCGGCCUACUGGUUUCGGAGCGCAGCACAAGUCGCACUCUCUAUCAGCAAAGGUCUAGCAUCCAUUAAGCCUUUUUUUCAACUUUUGACCUCGGAUCAGGUAGGGAUACCCGCUGAACUUAAGCAUAUCAAUAAGCGGAGA